rnacentral:sRNA from 1 species
UUGACUUAUCAAAUGAUAAUUAUUAUUAUUUAAUCAUCUGGUCGAGAGAUCAGCCGGUAAGCUGGGACCCCAGGUCACAAGGUUUCAGGUUAUCUCCUCAUCAAGGCUAAUCACGGUUUUAAACCCAGCUUCGGCUGGGUUUUUUUUGU